rnacentral:rRNA from 1 species
UGUCUAAGUAUAAGUUAUAGAAGGCGAAACUGCGAAUGGCUCAUUAAAACAGUUAUAGUAUAUUUGAUAAUGUUUUUACAUGGAUAACCGUGGGAAACUAGGGCUAAUACAUGCAUAAAGACCUUCGGGUUGUAUUUAUUAGCUAUAACCAAUGGCACUGCCUAUUGAGGAUUCAUAAUAACUGAUCGAAGCGCAUAAGUAUGCGCUAAAUCUUUCUAGUUUCUGCCCUAUCAGCUUUCGAUGGUAGUGUAUUGGACUACCAUGGCUAUCACGGGUAACGGAGAAUUGGGGUUCGAUUCCGGAGAAGGAGCCUGAGAAACGGCUACUACAUCUACGGGAGGCAGCAGGCGCGUAAAUUACCCAAUCCUGACUCAGGGAGGUAGUCACAAGAAAUAGUAUACCAGAGAUUAUAUCUCUAGUUUUGCAAUGGAUUUAAUUUAGACCCUUAUUUGAAAUCUAUUGGAGGGCAAGUCUGGUGCCAGCAGCCGCGGUAAUUCCAGCUCCAAUAGCGUAUCUUAAUGUUGUUGCAGUUAAAAAGCUCGUAGUCGAAUUUCUGGCCGGGACACGUUGCUCCUAGCAAAUGUGGGCCUAGGUCAUCCGCCUGUGAUCAAUUCUCGUGUUUCAACGCUCGGUCUUAGGAGCAGGCACUUUACUUUGAAGAAAUCAGAGUGUUUCAGGCAGGCUUUCGCUUGAAUACACCAGCAUGGAAUAAUGGAAUAGGACUGGUUCAUUUUAUUGGUCACUUGAACUAGUAAUGAUUAAUAGGGACAGUUGGGGGCAUUCGUAUUUGACAGUCAGAGGUGAAAUUCUUCAAUUUGUCAAAGACGAACUAAUGCGAAGGCAUUUGCCAAGGAUGUUUUCAUUGAUCAAGAACGAAAGACAGGGGAUCAAAGACGAUUAGAUACCGUCGUAGUCCUGUCCGUAAACUAUGCCGACUGGGGAUUGGUGGAGUACUAACUACAUCAGCAUCCAAUGAGAAAUCAAAGUCUUUGGGUUCUGGGGGGAGUAUGGUCGCAAGGCUGAAACUUAAAGGAAUUGACGGAAGGGCACCACCAGGAGUGGAGCCUGCGGCUUAAUUUGAUUCGACACGGGAAAACUUACCAGGGCAAGACUUUUGUAGGAUUGAUAGAUUGAGAGGCCUUUCUUGAUUGGAAGGGUGGUGGUGCAUGGCCGUUCUUAGUUGGUGGAGUGAUUUGUCAGGUUAAUUCCCUUAACGAACGAGACCUUAACCUGCUAACUAGUAGCGGUUAAUAUUUAGCCGUGUACUUCUUAGAGGGACUAUUACCAAAAGUAAUGGAAGUUUGAGGCAAUAACAGGUCCGUGAUGCCCUUAGAUGUCCUGGGCCGCACGCGUGCUACACUGAUAGACGCAACAAGUUCUACCCUAACCCGAAAGGGGCUGGGUAAUCUUCAAAAUAUCUAUCGUGCUAGGGAUUGAUCAUUGCAACUAUUGAUCAUGAACGAGGAAUUCCUAGUAAGCGCAAGUCAUUAUCUUGUGCUGAUUACGUCCCUGCCCUUUGUACACACCGCCCGUCGCUCCUACCGAUUUUGAGUGAUCCGGUAAACUUUCUGGACUGAAUUGUUUCGGCGAUGAGGGAAGUUGAGUAAACCUUAUCAC